UGAAUACCAACGGGGGUAGAGCACUGGAUGGGCUAGGGGGUCCCAACGACUUACCAAACCUAACCAAACUCCGAAUACCGUUGAGUACUAUCUGGCAGACACACUACGGGUGCUAAGGUCCGUAGUGGAAAGGGAAACAGCCCUGACCGUCGAUUAAGGUCCCUAAGUUAUGGCUAAGUGGGAAAGGAUGUAGG
rnacentral:rRNA from 1 species